GACGAUGUUCGGUGUGAGCUAAGACCACAGCGAUGAGGAGGGCCAAAAUCACACCGGGCCACCGGGCCACACAGAGAACGAUGCCCUCUUCUCCAUUGCACGCAACUGAACCAACAUGGCUGGCAUUCCAGGCUUCCAGACAAGGAUAUAACAAAGAGUUCGUGGUUUCUAGAAGGUUCUCAGAGUGGCAAGGUCUACCUUAGAAUAUGCCGACACCAUUAAGAUCCUUUUUUGGUGAAACGUUUCCAGUGAUACUCAGAUGCCACUGUUCAGAAAGAGCCCGGCAGGAGCGAGCGAAAGCAGAUUCCUCCUCCGAAGAGAGCCCAGGCAACAAAGGGAGGCUGGAUGGUUCUCCCAGCAAGCCAGGCUGUAGGAGAUGAUUAGUCUCCCCUGCGUGGUUGUGUGGACCGACAACACGCCCUGGACCUGGGAGAAACUGAGACUCCAAAAAGCGAAGAAUGUGUUGUGCCUCCUUGUCCCGACAGAACUCUUACAAAUAAAGCAGGAGGAAAUGAUGCGAGGCCGUGUGUAAUGAACAUGUAAUUAGAACAUCAGAAUCCAAAUUUGCGUGUAUGUACU